rnacentral:misc_RNA from 1 species
CUGCCCAUCAAGCGCGGCUUGUGUGUUGGGCCUCCGUCCUCCUCCCCGGGGGACGGGCCCGAAAGGCAGCGGCGGCACCGCGUCCGGUCCUCGAGCGUAUGGGGCUUCGUCACCCGCUCUUGUAGGCCCGGCCGGCGCUUGCCGACACAUCAAUCUUUUUUCCA